UCGUUACGUUAAUGUUCGGCCAUCCGGAGCAUUGGUAUCGUGGCUCACUUUUCACUGGCCGUAUUAAUGAUAAAAACUGUAUUUACGAAUUACAUGCUGUCUGGCGCGUAACUUUAAUUCGGAUUAUUUAUUUUAUUAUUCUAAUCGUUUUAAUAUUACGUUGUACACGAUUGCUGUGAAUUUUUAUAAUUAUUUUUCAUGUUCUUUGGCCGUGGCACGUUCCACUCUUUUGUACUGCCGCGCUCGAGCCCUCCUAGCCACUGUCGUUCGAUUAUCGCCGCGAUUGUACGUACAUGACAGGUGUACGCUUCUCUAAAUCCCAAUCAAUUACAUUCAUUUGUGUAUUAAGAAUCGUAAUUUGUGUUUUGUACAUUUACUGAGCCUUUCUGUUUUUCCUUCAGACGAUGAAAUCAGUUUUGGUUGUUGCACAAAUCCAAAGACGUGCCUGCCGAGAGCAACGGAAUUUAUUCCGCUUGUGCAUCCACUAUUUCCACAACACAAUGGAUUAAGCUCUAUUAUAUCAUGUGCCAUUGACUAUAGUUGAAUUUAAGCUUGCUGUUUUAACCUCACUUCACGUUCUACACCGCCGACAGUUCACAAAGCACGUUACAACGGAAAUACGAAUUGCCAUAGUUUGCAACUUGACAAACGCAACGAUUAAGAAUCAUACUUCAAAAUGUCUAUGAAUAUGAUACAUAAAUGAUUAACCGAAGAAGAAAAAGAACAGUAUACUUCCAGAAAAUACAAGGUAAAGAAUGCUGUACACUUAUCAAAGAAGUUGAAUACUCUUACCUUAGCAAUACAACAAGAAUAUCUAGAAGAAACUAGUAUUGAGAGACACGAAACUACAAUAGAACAUACUUCGUGGCAAUCUUCAGAGCAGGAAUUUGGGAUUAAUGUUGAAGCUACUGAUGAAGUCAAAGUAAAAACUGAGCAAGAGACUAGAAUUAGAUCUAUACCUGAAGGUGAUAUAUUUUCAAACUACAUAGACAAUUAUGACAGACAACAUAUUUGUAAAAUAUGCUAUGUUAGUUUUGAUUAUUUUGACGAAUUUUUAGUCCAUAUAAAUUUAAUACAUGCUAGUAAACCAUAUGUAUGUAAUGUUUGUGAUGCACGAUUUAUUCUUAUGGCACAUUUAAAUGAACAUCGGAAUAAACGUAAUAGAUAUUCGUGCACUAGAAAUUAAUCUGUUCGUCUUGCAGAAACGCAGACUUCUUCUGAAACUAAAUCUCUUAAUCAUCAUAAUAUUUUUACGUUUCAAAUUACAUCAAUGUAAUUUGUGUAUUAAAUCACUACAAUAUUGUAAAACUUAAGUUAUAUUUCUAUUGUAAUUUUUAAUUUUAAUUUAAAUAAUUUUUUCUAUUAUUUUAUUGU